rnacentral:rRNA from 1 species
UACGUAGGUGGCAAGCGUUGUCCGGAAUUACUGGGUGUAAAGGGAGCGCAGGCGGGGAGACAAGUCCGCUGUGAAAACUAUGGGCUUAACCCAUAGACGGCAGUGGAAACUGUAUCUCUUGAGUGGAGUAGAGGCAGGCGGAAUUCCGAGUGUAGCGGUGAAAUGCGUAGAUAUUCGGAGGAACACCAGUGGCGAAGGCGGCCUGCUGGGCUCUAACUGACGCUGAGGCUCGAAAGUGUGGGGAGCAAACAGG